rnacentral:tRNA from 1 species
AUUUAUAUAAUAUAAUAAGUAUAUAUGAUUUCCACUCAUAAAGUUUAACAAUUAAUAUAAAUA